rnacentral:lncRNA from 1 species
AAUCUCACCAGCUCAGUCUUAAGCCCAGGCAGAGAAGUAGCAGUAAAGGUGGUGAGCUGUUAUGGGGUGCUGCAGGAAACAGCCCCACGCCAGGGCAGGGGGAGCCAUGAUGCGCUGGAGAGGAAGCCCUACUGAUACGGACAGAUUGGAUUCAGCUGCACUUAGCUUACCCCAACGGGAAUGUGCCCUGCCCAGGGCAGGGAGCUGUUCUUCAUGCAGCGCAAAGACAGGUGACAGAUGCGAGUAUCCGUGGCUCCGGACAUGUCUGGAAGGCACUCCGAUGUUGCAGGAGGCUGGAACUUGUCCUUCUUCAGCUGCUCACCACAAGCCUCAACGCCAUUCAUGGAAAAGACGGCGUUAGCGAGUGACUACUUGCUUUGUCGCUCGGAGCCAAACGGAUAUUCCACCAGCUCCCAGUCAGAGCCAUGGUGGUGCCCAUCUCCCUUUGUCUCCUGCCCGUCUACCUACCUCACAGAGGCUUUGUAGCCUCCUGGAAAAGAAUGCUUUACAAAUCCUACAGACGGCCCUGAGCAGACAAUCUCGCUGCACAAGGGAACGCUCUGGGGGAAAGGAGAAUUGCAACCUGCAGCCAUCAAAUGGGUUUCCAUUGGCUAUAUCAGGGGUAGGCAACCUAUGGCACGCGUGCCGAAGGCGGCACGCAAG